AUGAAGCGCUCCCCCAUCGUCUCCCAGGCCCGGCAGGGCGCCUCCGCCUCCUCCAGCGAAGCUAACCCUAACCCGGCCGUCGCCAAGGUCGUGCUGUCCCUCGACCCCCUCAGCUCCGCUGAGCCCUCCCUCCAGCUCAAGAUGGAGAUGCCUCAAACUAGGGAAACUAGCACUUGCAACUUACCAAAGAGUUGCCCCUUGAAUAUGUUCUUCCUCCUCCGUCUCUUCGCUAUCGCCAUCCUGCCUUGCUCUGCCAACAACGCCACCCAACUGGUCUAUGACACAGAAGGCAACGAGCUAAAUAGCAAGUCAAAUUACUACAUCCUCCCAGCCAAACCUGCAAGCGGUGGCGGCCUCAAAGCCAUCCCAACCGGUCUACGGUGCCUACAUUUUGUGGUCGAGGAGCGCAGCGAGACGACUCUCCUCGACACGCCCAUGCGAUUCAUGCCGUUGCCAGAACACGCUUCUACCACUGAGCCGAUCCGCCUUUCGAGUGACAUAUGGAUCCGCCUUUCGAGUGACAUAUGGAUCGAGUUUCACGACUUGAGAAGCUUUUGCUCCGAAAGGCUAGAUUGGCACCUUACCGAACAGGUGCCGGAGUCGUCAUCAGGAGAGCCUAAACACAUGGCUGCCGGCAGUGAAGAGGGCCUAAGAUCAUUUGGGGUGUUCCGGGACGGAUCUCUCGGGAUAUAA
rnacentral:rRNA from 1 species